UAGGAAAUUAAGAGUAUAUGGCGGAUGCCUAGACUAAAAAAGGCGAUGAAAGACGUAGCAUGGCGGCGAUACGUUUCGGGGAGGUGCCUAGCAACCUUUGAUCCGGAAAUUUCUGAAUGGGGAAACCCCUCUAAGUAACCCUUAGAGACACUUGCGCUUGACGUAAGUGAGCAUACCAAGGGAAGUAAAACAUUUCAGUACCUUGAGGAAAAGAGAAAAAUAUUUAUUUUCUGAGUAGCGGCGAGCGAAAAGGAAAGAGCCCAAACCCGCACACUUACUUUGCCAUUGUUUUUUUUGUUCUGUUUUAAUUGUAUUACUAAAAAUAAUAUUGUUAAUUUAGAAUAAUAAAAUAAUGAAAUUUUGUUUUGAAAAAACAGAACGAUGGUAAAGUAAGUGUGCGGGGGUUGUAAGGUGACAAUGUAGAUUUAUCUAGAGAAGUUACAAAGUAUGUUAUUAGAUUAAACUUCUGGAAAGGAGUGCCGUAGACGGUGAUAGCCCGGUGAUCGAAAAUUUCAUACCUUCUUGAUUGUCAUUCUUGAGUAACUCAAGACAUGAAUAGCUUGAGCGAAUCCACCAGAACUAACUGGUAAGGCUAAAUACUUUUUUAGAUCGAUAGUGAACUAGUACCGUGAGGGAAAGNNGGGAAAGGUGAAAAGAACCCCGAUGAGGGGAGUGAAAUAGACCUGAAACCAUAUACUUACAAGGAGUCGGAGCGGACGUAUUUAUACGAUCCGUCACGGCGUGCCUAUUGAAGAAUGAGCCAACGAGUUUAUCUAUGCUGCAGGCUAAGCUGUUAGAACAGUGGAGCCUUAGGGAAACCGAGUGUUAAUAGCGCGAACAAUUAAUGUAGUCUAGAUAAGACCCGAAGCGAGGUGAGCUUGCCAUGAGCAGGAUGAAGUUUGUCGAAAGAUAGAUGGAGGUCCGAACCGGUGACCCGUGCAAUAGUCUCGGAUGACUUGUGGUAAGGAGUGAAAAGCUAAUCGAACCUCGUAAUAGCUGGUUCUCUCCGAAAUAGCUUUAGGGCUAGCGUUGUGUGUUCCUCUUGGGGGUAGAGCACUGGAAGAUUUCGACAGGGAGCAAUCUCGCGACAUCUAUCAAACUCCGAAUACCAAGAGCUAAAAGCACAGCAGUUAGGCUAUGGGGGCGAAGCUCCAUCAGCCAAAAGGGAAACAGCCCAGAUCUCUAAUUAAGGUCCCUAAAUAUAUACUAAGUGCGUAUGAAGGAGGUGAAAUUUCUCUGACAGUGAGGAUGUUGGCUUAGAAGCAGCCAUCAUUUAAAGAAAGCGUAACAGCUCACUCACUAAGAGAUUUCGCACCGAAAAUAAUCGGGGCUAAGUAUAUUACCGAAAUUGAGGGCUUCCAAUUUUUUAAAAUCGGGAGCGGUAGGAGAGUAUUCCACUCAGCGUCGAAGCCAAAGAGGUGACUCAUGGUGGAGCGUGUGGAAGUAAGAAUGUUGGCACAAGUAACCGCAAGGUAGGUGAGAUCCCUACCCGCCGAAAGAUCAAGGUUUCCUGGGCAAUGAUUAUCAUCCCAGGGUUAGUCGGUCCUAAGGGGAUGGCGAAAGCCGCACCCGAUGGGCACAUGGUUAAUAUUCCAUGACUUCUGUUGUAUCCGAUGAUAGGACGGAGUGUAGUAUAUAAAGCUCAUUAUUGGAUUUGAGUAUGUUAGUAAGGAUGUCUCUUAGGAAAAUCCGGGAGAUGACGUAAAAGUAACAUCCAAGCAAAACUUAAAUAUAGGGGUUCGCCUCUGUAGAUUUUAUAAAGCACGCUUCCAAGAAAAGUAUCUAAGGUUAAUGCAAUAGAAUCCGUACCGCAAACCGACACAGGUGAUCAGGUCGAGUAGACCAAGGCGAACGAGUGAGAGGUCUUCAAGGAACUCGGCAAAAAAGCAGCCGUAACUUUGGAAUAAGGCUUGCCAUUCUUAAUUUAUUAAGUUUGGCCGCAGCGAAAGUAUCUCUGGCAACUGUUUAUCAAAAACACAGCUCCCUGCGAACUCGCAAGAGGAUGUAUAGGGGGUGACACCUGACCAAUGCCAGAAGGUCAAAUAUCGGUGGUGCAUGGUCGCAAGAUUGUGUGCUGGCUGAUAUAAGCCCUGGUGAAUGUCGGCCGUAACUAUAACGGUCCUAAGGUAGCGAA
rnacentral:rRNA from 1 species